UACGUAGGGUGCGAGCGUUGUCCGGAAUUAUUGGGCGUAAAGAGCUCGUAGGCGGCUUGUCACGUCGGAUGUGAAAGCCCGGGGCUUACCCCGGGUCGUGCAUUCGAUACGGGCAGGCUAGAGUGUGGUAGGGGAGAUCGGAAUUCCUGGUGUAGCGGUGAAAUGCGCAGAUAUCAGGAGGAACACCGGUGGCGAAGGCGGAUCUCUGGGCCAUUACUGACGCUGAGGAGCGAAAGCGUGGGGAGCGAACAGG
rnacentral:rRNA from 1 species